rnacentral:rRNA from 1 species
CGGUUGAUCCUGCCGGACCUGACUGCUAUCGGAUUGAUACUAAGCCAUGCGAGUCAUUGUAGCAAUACAAGGCAUACGGCUCAGUAACGCGUAGUCAACCUAACCUAUGGACGGGAAUAACCUCGGGAAACUGAGAAUAAUGCCCGAUAGAACACUAUACCUGGAAUGGUUUGUGUUCCAAAUGAUUUAUCGCCGUAGGAUGGGACUGCGGCCUAUCAGUUUGUUGGUGAGGUAAUGGCCCACCAAGACUAUUACAGGUACGGGCUCUGAGAGGAGUAGCCCGGAGAUGGGUACUGAGACACGGACCCAGGCCCUAUGGGGCGCAGCAGGCGAGAAAACUUUGCAAUGUGCGAAAGCACGACAAGGUUAAUCCGAGUGGUUUCUGCUAAAGGAACCUUUUGUUAGUCCUAGAAACACUAACGAAUAAGGGGUGGGCAAGUUCUGGUGUCAGCCGCCGCGGUAAAACCAGCACCUCAAGUGGUCAGGAUGAUUAUUGGGCCUAAAGCAUCCGUAGCCGGCUCUGUAAGUUUUCGGUUAAAUCUGUACGCUUAACGUACAGGCUGCCGGGAAUACUGCAUAGCUAGGGAGUGGGAGAGGUAGACGGUACUCGGUAGGAAGGGGUAAAAUCCUUUGAUCUAUUGAUGACCACCUGUGGCGAAGGCGGUCUACCAGAACACGUCCGACGGUGAGGGAUGAAAG